rnacentral:piRNA from 1 species
ACAGUCAAAAUGGCAGUUGAUGUAAUCC